UACAGAGGGUGCGAGCGUUGUUCGGAAUUAUUGGGCGUAAAGCGCGUGUAGGCGGUGAUGCAUGUCGGGUGUGAAAGCCCUCAGCUCAACUGAGGAAGUGCGCCCGAAACUGCAUCGCUGGAGUGCCGGAGAGGAAGGCGGAAUUCCCGGUGUAGAGGUGAAAUUCGUAGAUAUCGGGAGGAACACCAGUGGCGAAGGCGGCCUUCUGGACGGACACUGACGCUGAGACGGCGAAAGCGUGGGUAGCAAACAGG
rnacentral:rRNA from 1 species